rnacentral:rRNA from 1 species
UGGGGAAUAUUGCACAAUGGGCGCAAGCCUGAUGCAGCCAUGCCGCGUGUAUGAAGAAGGCCUUCGGGUUGUAAAGUACUUUCAGUCGGGAGGAAGGUGGUAAGGUUAAUAACCUUGGCAAUUGACGUUACCGACAGAAGAAGCACCGGCUAACUCCGUGCCAGCAGCCGCGGUAAUACGGAGGGUGCAAGCGUUAAUCGGAAUUACUGGGCGUAAAGCGCACGCAGGCGGUCUGUCAAGUCGGAUGUGAAAUCCCCGGGCUCAACCUGGGAACUGCAUUCGAAACUGGCAGGCUAGAGUCUGGUAGAGGGGGGUAGAAUUCCAGGUGUAGCGGUGAAAUGCGUAGAGAUCUGGAGGAAUACCGGUGGCGAAGGCGGCCCCCUGGACAAAGACUGACGCUCAGGUGCGAAAGCGUGGGGAGCAAACAGG